rnacentral:rRNA from 1 species
AGGUGCCCGUACCGCAAACCGACACAGGUAGGUAGGAAGAAGAUUCUAAGGCCAACGGGAGAAGGGUUGUUAAGGAACUCGGCAAAUUGACCCCGUAACUUCGGGAGAAGGGGUGCUCCAGAGAUGGAGCCGCAGAGAAUCGGCCCAAGCAACUGUUUACCAAAAACACAGGUUUGUGCUAAAUCGAAAGAUGACGUAUACGAGCUGACGCCUGCCCGGUGCUGGAAGGUUAAGAGGAGAUGUGCAAGCAUUGAAUCGAAGCCCCAGUGAACGGCGGCCGUAACUAUAACGGUCCUAAGGUAGCGAAAUUCCUUGUCAGGUAAGUUCUGACCCGCAUGAAAGGCGUAAUGAUUUGGGCACUGUCUCAACAGCCCGCCCGGCGAAAUUGUAGUACCGGUGAAGAUGCCGGUUACCCGCGACAAGACGGAAAGACCCCAUGGAGCUUUACUGUAGCCUAAUAUUGGGUUUCGAUGUUGCAUGCACAGGAUAGAUGGGACACAGGGAAACAAUCGCUUUGGCGGUUGCGGAGUGGCCGUUGGGAUACCAUCCUUGCGAUAUUGGAAUUCUAACCUGCGGCUCUGAAUCGAGUCGGGGGACAUUGUUAGGUGGGCAGUUUGACUGGGGCGGUCGCCUCCUAAAAAGUAACGGAGGCGUUCAAAGGUUCGCUCAGCUUGAACGGAAAUCAAGCAAAAGAGUGCAAACGCAGAAGCGAGCCUAACUGCGAGACUGACGGGUCGAGCAGUAACGAAAGUUGGAGUUAGUGAUCCGGUGGUAUGUGAGUGGAAAUGCCAUCGCUCAACGGAUAAAAGUUACCCUGGGGAUAACAGGCUGAUCUCCCCCAAGAGUCCACAUCGACGGGGAGGUUUGGCACCUCGAUGUCGGCUCAUCGCAUCCUGGGGCUGUAUUCGGUCCCAAGGGUUUGGCUGUUCGCCAAUUAAAGCGGUACGCGAGCUGGGUUCAGAACGUCGUGAGACAGUUCGGUCCCUAUCUGUCGUGGGCGCAGGAUAUUUGAUGGGAGCUGUCCCUAGUACGAGAGGACCGGGACGGACGUACCUCUGGCGCACCAGUUGUUCCGCCAGGAGCAUAGCUGGGCAACUACGUACGGAUCGGAUAAACGCUGAAAGCAUCUAAGCGUGAAGCCGACCCAAAGAUAAGAUAUCCCAUUGUUUCAAACAAGUAAGACCCCUUGAAGACUACAAGGUUGAUAGGCACGAUGUGUAAGUGGAGCGAUCCAUUCAGCAAGCGUGUACUAAUAGGUCGAGGGCUUGACCAC